UGCUGUUUGCCAUCUGCCAUCCACAUGCCUAGACACUACUGAACUCUAGCCUUGGACUUGAUGGAGCUGGCCUGAAGGUAGAUCGCAUGAUUACUAUCAUCACCAAACCCAGAUAACUGCAGUGGUUGGACUGGACCUGGAGACUUUGGCUGUAUACUGGCAGGACAGUCCUGGUAACCCACCAAAAAUAUUGAGGAAGUUAACCCAUCACAGGAGUUUACUUUGAUGAUCUCUGGAAGAUGGAGGAUGGUAUCGAGAUCGGCUGGCAUUUAUGCACUAAGUCAGUGAGAAUGUAUUUGGAGACUGAAAAGUCCUGGCAGUCUUCAAAUGGCAACCUGUAUCAAGUGGUCUGAUCUGCAUGUCAGGAAAUACCUACAUAGUCAGCAAGUUCCCUAGUGAAAUCUGCAACUGAGUUUCCAAUUUAAAACAGAGGGUUUUAAAGUGUGGUUUGCACACAAUGAUUUCUUCCGAAGAGGGAAGUGUGAAAAGAGUAAAUUUACUGCAGAGAAACCAGACAAACACUAUUUUAGCCAGGUGAUCAAGGUCAACAACAUUGGUUCUAUAAACUCUUCCUCUCUGGAUCUCCAAGUGAGUUGUUACUAAUCCCCUCAUUAUUACACAAUCCCUUAUGUUUUCUCUAUACUCACAUUUUUACAAACAAGACCUCAAGCUAUUUCAGUUCCAUUGUGCUCCCUGUUUGCUAUUGGCCCUCUCACUGAUAAAAAUCACUUACCCAUAUUUCACUUGUAUCAAU